rnacentral:piRNA from 2 species
UUUUGGGAGAGGUAGCCUGAUGCAGCC